rfam:Salmo salar isolate Sally breed double haploid chromosome ssa17, whole genome shotgun sequence.
GCUGAUUAAACUUGUAAGUCGCUCUGGAUAAGAGCGUCUGCUAAAUGACGUAAA